GCUACUUCGGCGGGACAAGAGC
rnacentral:miRNA from 1 species